GGAGGGAUGGCCGAGUGGACUAAGGCGGCAGUCUUGAAAACUGCUGUGCGCUCUGCGCACCGUGGGUUCGAAUCCUACUCCCUCCGCCA
rnacentral:tRNA from 1 species